CCUACGGGGGACAGCAGUGAGGAAUAUUGGUCAAUGGACGAGAGUCUGAACCAGCCAAGUAGCGUGAAGGAUGACUGCCCUAUGGGUUGUAAACUUCUUUUAUAUGGGAAUAAAACAGGGUAUGCAUACCCUCUUGUAUGUACCAUAUGAAUAAGGAUCGGCUAACUCCGUGCCAGCAGCCGCGGUAAUACGGAGGAUCCGAGCGUUAUCCGGAUUUAUUGGGUUUAAAGGGAGCGUAGGUGGAUUGUUAAGUCAGUUGUGAAAGUUUGCGGCUCAACCGUAAAAUUGCAGUUGAAACUGGCAGUCGUGAGUACAGUAGAGGUGGGCGGAAUUCGUGGUGUAGCGGUGAAAUGCUUAGAUAUCACGAAGAACUCCGAUUGCGAAGGCAGCUCACUGGACUGCAACUGACACUGAUGCUCGAAAGUGUGGGUAUCAAACAGGAUUAGAUACCCGAGUAGUC
rnacentral:rRNA from 1 species